rnacentral:rRNA from 1 species
AAUGAACGUUGGCGGCGUGGAUUAGGCAUGCAAGUCGAGCGCGAACCCCGCAAGGGGUGAAAGCGGCGAAAGGGAGAGUAACGCGUGGGUAUUUACCCUUGGGACUGGGAUAGCUGCGGGAAACUGCAGGUAAUACCAGAUGACGUCCCCGGACCAAAGGUGUGAUUCCGCCUGAGGAUAAGCCCGCGUCCUAUUAGCUAGUUGGUGAGGUAAUGGCUCACCAAGGCAAUGAUGGGUACUGGGUGUGAGAGCACGACCAAGCUCACUGGGACUGAGACACUGCCCAGACACCUACGGGUGGCUGCAGUCGAGAAUCGUCGGCAAUGGGCGCAAGCCUGACCGAGCGACGCCGCGUGUGGGAUGAAGGCCUUCGGGUUGUAAACCGCUGUCAGAGGGGAGGAAUGGGCGGAGGGUAAUCUCUUCGUUUUGACCUAUCCUCAGAGGAAGUACGGGCUAAGUUCGUGCCAGCAGCCGCCGUAA